rnacentral:rRNA from 1 species
UACGGGGGGAGCAAGCGUUGUUCGGAUUCAUUGGGCGUAAAGGGUGCGUAGGUGGCGCGCUAAGUCAGGUGUGAAAUUUCGGAGCUUAACUCCGAAACUGCAUUUGAUACUGGCGUGCUUGAGGACUGGAGAGGAGACUGGAAUUCACGGUGUAGCAGUGAAAUGCGUAGAUAUCGUGAGGAAGACCAGUGGCGAAGGCGGGUCUCUGGACAGUUCCUGACACUGAGGCACGAAGGCCAGGGGAGCAAACGGG